GACGAACGCUGGCGGCGUGCUUAACACAUGCAAGUCGAACGGCAAGGCCCUGCUUUUGUGGGGUGCUCGAGUGGCGAACGGGUGAGUAACACGUGAGUAACCUGCCCUUGACUUUGGGAUAACUUCAGGAAACUGGGGCUAAUACCGGAUAGGAGAUCCUGCUGCAUGGUGGGGGUUGGAAAGUUUCGGCGGUUGGGGAUGGAUUCGCGGCUGAUCAGCUUGUUGGUGGGGUAGUGGCUUGCCAAGGCUUUGACGGGUAGCCGGCCUGAGAGGGUGACCGGCCACAUUGGGACUGAGAUACGGCCCAGACUCCUACGGGAGGCAGCAGUGGGGAAUAUUGCACAAUGGGCGGAAGCCUGAUGCAGCAACGCCGCGUGCGGGAUGACGGCCUUCGGGUUGUAAACCGCUUUCGCCUGUGACGAAGCGUGAGUGACGGUAAUGGGUAAAGAAGCACCGGCUAACUACGUG
rnacentral:rRNA from 1 species